rfam:Ornithorhynchus anatinus chromosome X1, whole genome shotgun sequence.
AGCAGUGUGGCUCAGUGGAAAGAGCACGGGCUUGGGAGCCAGAAUUCAUGGGUUCAAAUCCCGGCUCUGCUA